rnacentral:rRNA from 1 species
GACGAACGCUGGCGGCGUGCCUAACACAUGCAAGUCGAGCGGGGUUGAAGCGAGAGGUAACUCGAACUUCUACCUAGCGGCGGACGGGUGAGUAACGCGUGGGCAACCUGCCUCAAGGUCUGGGAUAACAGCCCGAAAGGGCUGCUAAUACCGGGUAUGCUUGUGGCCUCGCAUGGGGCUAUGAGCAAAGGGGAAACCCGCCUUGAGAUGGGCCCGCGUCCCAUCAGCUAGUUGGUGAGGUAACAGCUCACCAAGGCGACGACGGGUAGCCGGCCUGAGAGGGUGACCGGCCACACUGGGACUGAGACACGGCCCAGACUCCUACGGGGGGCAGCAGUGGGGGAUCUUGCACAAUGGGCGAAAGCCUGAUGCAGCGACGCCGCGUGAGCGAAGAAGGCCUUCGGGUUGUAAAGCUCUGUCUGGAGGGACGAAGGAAGUAGACGGUACCUCCGGAGGAAGCCACGGCUAACUACGUG